rnacentral:rRNA from 1 species
UACGUAGGUGGCAAGCGUUGUCCGGAUUUACUGGGCGUAAAGGGCGUGCAGGCGGUCUGUUAAGUGCAGGGUGAAAGCUCCCGGCUCAACUGGGAGAGGUCCUUGCAUACUGGCGGACUUGAGGGGGGUAGAGGAAAGUGGAAUUCCUGGUGUAGCGGUGAAAUGCGUAGAUAUCAGGAGGAACACCUGUGGCGAAAGCGGCUCACUGGACCAUAACUGACGCUGAUGCACGAAAGCUAGGGGAGCAAACAGG